AAAACAACCUGGGUCAGACCUGAACAUAGACCCCCUCGGCCUUUGAGACACUGGUCCCAUGCCCAGCCAGGUGAGCCACGGGGAUUGUCAAACUUUCUGAUAUCAUCCAGGACCAAAGAAAACGCUGCUGGGGUCUCUUCUUUUCUUUUUUUAAAAUUAGAAGCGUCUUUUUCUUUAAAUAUUUCCUCCACAUUCGUUGGCCUUAUACACUUGCAGCCCUCACAGGACUAAAUAAUUGUUAUGAUAAUUUUACAAUGCUGGGUUUAAUUAAACACAUGAAUCACAUUUAAGCCACAGAGGCACAUUUGGAAUUGAGUGAUGGCUUAGGAUGCAACAAAGAAAUGUUGUGUGGUGUCUGAGUGAACAACUUCAGUGAGCGCGUGUGCUCCUCUGGACCAGGUGUUUGCUUUGGGAUAAAUGCCGGUCUUAACCGUGAUCCCAGGACUGCUGAUUAGUCUCCUACUCGAGUAAAUACGUUCACUCUCCAAGCUGUUUGUGCGUGAUGGAGCAGUUUAUAAACGUGUGCACUAGCAUGCGCCCUCCUCCCCACCCUCUUUUUCUGCUUCUGCUUGCCUCGGCCCUCGUUUUGUGGGAGAGGCCGCUCAAAUUUCUGUUUCUCUAAGCGAACUCGAGUCAUUCCAAAUAAAUUUUGUUGUGAUGGCGCAGAGCGGAGUUCGCAGCAGGGGGGGAAAGAAUUGUCAGCAGGCAGGCGAAAGCAGCGACCUCAGCUUCACACCGAAAUGAUACUUAUCGAGCUGAAUAUUGAUCCGCACGUCCGAACUGUGCAGCAGCCAAAUGGCCUCAGCGGUCUCACCGAGCCAGCAGAACGAGAUCUGGAUCCGUUUGACCGCACAAGCAUGAAAAGCAUGCGAUGCACAUGAGAGACAGGUGUGUCCAUGAGGUGGAGGAGAAUGGGAGACAAAACUGAGCUGAACAUCAAUGAAGUCAUGUUGUUAAAAAUACUCUAAUCCUCACGUUUCCUGGAGAAAAUUAAUCUUCUCUUCGCAAAUCUUUGGUUAUUAAAACAUCCGAGGUAAAAUAAAAGAAACAUGUUUUUCCAC